UACAGAGGGGGCAAGCGUUGUUCGGAAUUACUGGGCGUAAAGGGCGCGUAGGCGGCCUGUUAAGUCGAACGUGAAAUCCCCGGGCUCAACCCGGGAACUGCGUCCGAUACUGGCAGGCUCGAAUCCGGGAGAGGGAUGCGGAAUUCCAGGUGUAGCGGUGAAAUGCGUAGAUAUCUGGAGGAACACCCGUGGCGAAAGCGGCUCUCUGGAACGGUACUGACGCUGAGACGCGAAAGCGUGGGGAGCGAACAGG
rnacentral:rRNA from 1 species